CAGGAGGGCAAAGCAAUCUCUAAAUACACACUGGGAAAGGGGAGGUGGGGUUCCAAGAUGUUGAUACACUAUGCCAAAGGGUUCCUCAGGAAAAAUGAAUUGGGAACCCCUGGAGUAGAGAAACUGCUGGAGUUGAUAAAAGUGGUCAAGAACAAUUUUGAGGGUAAACAAGAUGGUGACUGGGACACCUGCCCAGAGGGUGCCAAGUGUAACAUGCCAAGAUAUGGACAUCUAAAGAUAUGAAAACACAAUGAAUCCAGACACCUCCAUGUAAGGGUUCGUUUAACGCUGAAGAGCAAUAUAGUAAAAUUAGUUUCAUAUAAUAUGUAAAGUGAAUGCAAACUGUACAAAACAUUCCAUUAAACCCUACAAGGACAAGAUAAUGUAUGUUUAAACAUCGCAAAAAUUACAGUGUCCGAAAAGUGAAGCACCUGUGCACCAAAAUAGUUUGCUGCUAAACGUGUCCC